AUAAAACCGAUCGUAGUCCGGAUCGCAGUCUGCAACUCGACUGCGUGAAGUCGGAAUCGCUAGUAAUCGUGAAUCAGAAUGUCACGGUGAAUACGUUCCCGGGCCUUGUACACACCGCCCGUCACACCAUGGGAGUGGGUUGCUCCAGAAGUAGCUAGUCUAACCGCAAGGGGGACGGUUACCACGGAGUGAUUCAUGACUGGGGUGAAGUCGUAACAAGGUAGCCGUAGGGGAACCUGCGGCUGGAUCACCUCCUUA
rnacentral:rRNA from 2 species